CAGUCGCCGCGGGAAUACGAAGGGUGCAAGCGUUAAUCGGAAUUACUGGGCGUAAAGCGUGCGUAGGCGGUUUGUUAAGUCUGUUGUGAAAUCCCCGGGCUCAACCUGGGAAUAGCAAUGGAUACUGGCAAGCUAGAGUGUGUCAGAGGAUGGUGGAAUUCCCGGUGUAGCGGUGAAAUGCGUAGAGAUCGGGAGGAACAUCAGUGGCGAAGGCGGCCAUCUGGGACAACACUGACGCUGAGGCACGAAAGCGUGGGGAGCAAACAGGAUUAGAUACCCCGGUAGUCCCUGUCUCUUAUAC
rnacentral:rRNA from 1 species